rnacentral:lncRNA from 1 species
GUCAGGUGUGAUGCCUUAUACCUGUAAUCCUAGCAAUUUGAGAGGCCAGGGUGGGAGGAUCACUUGAGGCCUUGAGUUCAAGACCAGCCUGGGCAACAUAGUGAAACCCUGUCUCUACAAAAAAUUAGAAAAAUUAGCUGGGCGUGGUGGUGCUUGCCUGUAGUUCCAGCUGCCCAGGAAGCUGAGGCAGGAGUAUCACGUGAGCCCAGGAAUUUGAGGUUGCAGUAAGUUAUGAUCACACUACUGCAUUCCAGCCUGGGCGAUGGUGAGACCCUGUCUCAGUAAAAAAAAAAAAAAAAAAAGUGUAAUUUAUAUUUAUACAAAAUUGGCUUGAAUUGGAAUUGGGGUUUGUCUGGUUUUUGCUUUAUUUAUGUGUAUAUGUAUGUUUUAUUUAUGCAUAUAUAUACACACACAUAAUAUAUAUACACAAAUAUUUUUAAAAUAUUAUUUAUAUAUUUACAUAUAAAGUAUGUAUGUAUAAAAUACGUGUAUUUAUAUAUAAAUAUUAUAUAUAUUUUAAAAUAGAGACACAUUCACUCUGUUGCCCAGGCUGUAGUGUAGUACAGUGAUCAUAGCUUACUGCAGUCUUGAACUCCUAGCCUGAAGCAAUCUUUCCACUUCCCAAAGUGCUAGGAUUACAGGCAUGAGCCACUGUGGCCGGCCUGUCAUUUGUUUUCAUUUUAAUUGAGCACAUUUGACCUCAAUUUAUUACAAUCUCUCUCUCCAUUAUUUAAUUUAGAAAAGCUUCAUGAAAGCUUUUUUUAGUUAAAAUAUAUGUAACAUAAGGCCGGGCGUGAGCCACCACAUCCAGCCUCUAGUGGCUGUUUCUAUAUCCUUUGAGAAACAUUUAUUUUUUUGAUUCCAAAGUCAGAAUUAGAUAUAUCUAAUAUAUGUAUUAGAUAUAUGUAUAUCUAUAUUAUAUACAUAACUUUCUAUUGCUGUUUUUUAAUUGUUCCUUUAUUGUAAUUGAGACGAGGUCUCACCGUGUUGCCUAGGCUGGUCCCAAACUCAUGGGUUCAGGUGAUCCACCCACCUCGGCCUCCCAAAAUGCUGGAAUACAGGCAUGCACCACUGUGCCCGGCCCGCUUUUCUGUGGCUUCUACUUCAGAUGCACUCUAGAGCUCAUCCAUUCCAUUUUCUGCCUUCCCAGAUUGGAACCAACCAGAUGGCUGUGUGUGCCAAAGCACAGAACAAACCUUUCUAUGUGGUUGCAGAAAGUUUCAAGUUUGUCCGGCUCUUUCCACUAAACCAGCAAGACGUCCCAGAUAAGUUUAAGGCAAGAGUUUUACAUAUUUGAAGGGGUACUAAAGUCUAAACAGAAACCUUUGGAAAUUGUAGUCCUAAGAAUGUUCCAGUAAUUUUUUCACUUCCUAUUGCUACUUUCCCCAACACUUGGAAUACAAAGAUAAAUUGGUGAUUGGACUCACACAUUUGUCCCUAGAACUUCAGUCUUUCAGUCUCUUUAAGUAGCACCAUAGAUGGGUGGAGAGGAAGCCCGAAGCUGGUGGGUAAGUCCCAGCUUUGGGCUUAACUGAGCUCAGCUCCCAUCACCACAACUUACAAACUGUGCGAGUUGAGGCAAGUCCUUUCAUUUCAACCUCUGAACCGGUUUUCUUGUCUGUAAAAUGGCAUAGCAGUAUCUGACAGGGUCAUGAGGAUUCUAAGAUAAUCUUAGCACAGUCCCUGGCACGCUGCAAGCUCUCUAUUGUGACUCUCGAUCUUCCCUUGAGAGGUCUGGAGAAGUUAAUCCGGCAUGAGAAUGAGGGGACAUGGGAUUUAAGUUUGUUACACUACAGCUCUCAGCCAGCACACUGCCAUGAUCUGGCUCAUGGCCACAACUCUGCCCUCGUCUCUAGUGUCCUGCAUAGCUUAGUUUCUCCCAUUUUCAGAGAGCAGUCUCAGGAAGUAGCACACUGAUCACUCACACCAAGGCCCUACCAGGUCAGAGCACUAAAUAUUCAGUGCCGACUAAUGUGUACUUCUCUCCUCAGUAUAAGGCAGACACUCUCAAGGUCGCGCAGACUGGACAAGACCUCAAAGAGGAGCAUCCGUGGGUCGACUACACUGCCCCUUCCUUAAUCACUCUGCUGUUUACAGACCUGGGCGUGCUGACACCCUCAGCAGUCAGCGAUGAGCUCAUCAAGCUCUAUCUGUAACCUGUGAGCCCUUUCCUGCCAAGGUGCAGCUUACGUAGUUGAGGCAGGGUGAGUAGCUGCUUGACACCCCAGUGAGUCAGGCCAAAACUGAGAUGUGUUUAAUGAAGAUUUAUGGAGUAAGGACUUAAAAUCAUACAUCUUGGAGAACCUUUCUUACUCAUUUCAGUCCCAUCUAAAAAUGUGUCAGCUAUUCUAAAUCCCAACUUAAAUUGUUCUUACGGUUUCUAGAAACUUUCCUUUUCAGUUUCCAGAAAUACAAGUUAGAUAAUUGGCUACUUAACUGAUGAAAGAUGAGCCCAAGUCCACCUGUCUUCAUCCUCCCCUGCACUCCAGACUGAUCUGCCUAAAGCACGCGAGAUGCAGGCGAAAAGCAGCCACACCCCUCUGCCACAAAUGACCAACAGCUGGUCAGGACGUUACACGCGGUGCCUUGUAAGAGGCAAGAAACACUUGCUGAAUCUGCAUCUGGCUUCCAGUGGUAAGCACAUUCCUCAGCAGGAUCAAGCCAAACAGUAAAAACUACCAAGAGAACACGAGGAAGGCAGAAACGAUGUUUAGCAACAGUAUUCUGCAUGGUUCACUGCUUAAGAAAAUGCCUUCUGGAAUAUUUGUAAACUGAAAUUCUGUAUGUGUAAGAGAUGUUUAAAUAUGUUUGGGUCCUAAACAGCUUUUUAAAAUUAUACU